UACGUAGGGGGCUAGCGUUGUCCGGAAUCAUUGGGCGUAAAGCGCGCGUAGGCGGCCCGGUAAGUCCGCUGUGAAAGUCAAAGGCUCAACCUUUGAAUGUCAGCGGAUACUGCCGGGCUAGAGUCCGGAAGAGGCGAGUGGAACUCCUGGUGUAGCGGUGGAAUGCGCAGAUAUCAGGAAGAACACCAACAGCGAAGGCAGCUCGCUGGGACGGAACUGACGCUAAGGCGCGAAAGCGUGGGGAGCGAACAGG
rnacentral:rRNA from 1 species